ACCAACCACCUCACGUGUUGCGUGAGUGGCGUAACUCCUGUCGUGAAUGGGGGAGUUACGCAACUGUGAAUGGGGGAGUUACGCCACUGUGACUGUAGCGGCGUGUCUCCCUGUCGGCCGCUUCCUGGGCAUUAGCCAAACUGCUCAGCAACGGAAUGGCAGGUGGGCCAUGACAGCGGAACGGCUGAAGACGGUGACUGUGUAGCUGUGACAUCACAUUUCAGCGGAAGACCUGACGCCUUGUAAAAAAAAAAACAGCUGAAAAGCGUUUCCUCGACAUUCUCUGGUGUUGUUGAUAGCUCAGCAACGGAAUGGCAGGUGGGCCAUGAGGGCGGAACGGCUGAAGACGGUGACUGUGUGGCUGUGACAUCACAUUUCAGCGGAAGACCUGACGCCUUGUUAAACAAAAAACAGCUGUGUAUUUGUCUGUUUAUUGACCGUUUUGACACUUUUACGGUACUUACAGAGCCCUUAUUUAUUAUGAAAAAAGCCAUGAAAUCUCAGCCCUUUAAAAGACUGUAAGUCUGUUUUUUGGUUACGGUUUAUUAAAUCAUUUUUUUUGUA